AUGUUUAUAUUUCCAUGUAGGGUUUGUGAUUAGUGGCUAGGGGUUAGUUUAUGAAAGAUUGGAGUUGACAUUGGAUUAGGAUUUAUAUUCCCGCAUAGGGUUUAGUGAAUAGUUGAUAGGGUUUAAUUUAUGUAUGAUUGUGGUUGACAUUUAGUUAGGGUAUAUGGAAGAUUGGGGUUGACAUUCGAUUAGGGUUUAUAUUUCUAUGUAGGGCUUAGAGAUAAGUGGCUACGGUUUAGUUUAUGAAAGAUUAGGGUUGACAAUGAGUUAGGGUAUAUACUUCCAUGUAGGGUUUAGUAAAUUAAGAUUGAGAUGAGAUUAGAGUUAUAUUUCCGUGUAGGGUUUAGUGAAUAGUUGAUAGGGUUUAAUUUAUGUAAGAUUGUGGUUGACAUUUAGUUAGGGUAUACGGAAGAUUGGUUCUAUUAUCAAUUAUUUUGUUCUAUUAUCAAUUGCUCUGAUACCAGUUUUAUUUAUUUUCUUUUUGUUGAUUUGUUUACAAAGUUCUCAAUUUAUUUUGACUUUAUUUAUUUGCUGGAUUAAAAACAAACUUAUGAUGACAAGGUUGUGAUUAAUACUUACUUUUAUUGAUCUUGAUGUUACAAUCUUUGGUUACAAAGUUACUGAUAGAACUUAGAAUUUUACAAAAUUUAUAGAGAGAAGGGAGAGCGAUUUUUAGAGUGAGAAAGAGCUUGGCGAAAAUUGCUCCUCCUUCGUUCUUCCUCAUGGGUUCCUUUUAUAGGCGAAGGUUGUGUAUUGAUUGGUUGCCACAUGUCAUCUUCUGAUUGUGCCGACACUCUGCUUGUUACGUGUCGUCUUUUGAUUGUGCCGACACUUUGUUGCUACGUGUCAAGUCUU
rnacentral:lncRNA from 1 species